GCAGUGAGCCCAGGCGGGCAGCCCUGGCCAGCAGCUCUUGUCCCUGUGGCUGGAGGCUGAAGUCCACGUAGGCCCCGGCGGGGAGCCGCUGGGGUGUAGGCCGGGUGCCUUUGUCCAAGCCUGGCGCCACUGCCCAGACACUUUACUUCAAAUUUGGCUUUAUUUUCAUCAUUGAUAUUGAUUAAAAUGACAUUCACUUGCCCGGAAAGUAAAAGAGGUCUUCAGCACAAAAUAUUGCUCCAACAAGCAAGCAUAAAUCACUGAGAUUGAAAUGUCAUCUAUCUUUAUUGGCCAACCACAUAAUCUCCAUGAAAAUUCUCAACAGAGAGCAAGGAACUCACUUUCUUCUAAGCAAAGACAAUUUGGAUUUGCCUCGUGGCACUGGCAUCUCUUCAUGUCUGGACGUCAGAUGUUAGCUUGGUGCCUUUCUCCCUUAUCAGGGGGACAUUUUGAACCCAGCCGCACCAAUGUUCUCAUGGAUGGUGGCCUUCGAUUCUUCUAGAUUCAAGAUUUGGCUCUUGUACUUUUCCUGCCAGUCCUCUACAAUGUACUGGUGGUAGGGGUCAUUGGAGUGUUCCCGUCUCUUGGAUUUCACAGUGCUCACCAGGAUGGCCACGAUGAUGAAAGAGAACAUUCCAAUCAUCACCAUGAGGUACAGGAUGACAUAGUAGAAGUUCUCAGCAUCAACUUUGGCUUGGAGGGCCUCUUGCUCAGCUGUUGUGUUCUGGCGCCAAUUGUCCAUAUAAGUAAUAAAAAUCCUUCGGAAGACGUCUUCCAGCGUCUGUGUGAAAUUGGAUAAAGUAGACAUGCUUCCCUCCUGCUGCAAUUUAAAUAAUAAAAUAGGCGAACAAGAACUUGAGCUCCAUGACAACAGGGACCUUACCUGUAUUGCCCAUUCUGUGUCUGGCUGGAAAAAAGCUCUCACUGUAUCCCAAAAGAAUGGUGAUAAUUCUAGAUUCUGGCUGUGAUGAAAUCAACCACCUCAUCUAUUUACAAGGUACUAAGAUUAUCAUUCCGAUGAAAAAGACUCUGGAAAAGAAAGUUUUCACCUUUUCAAAACCAUUAACAAUACAUGACGUUUCUAAUUGAGCUCACAGAGUAGGAAGCUUUCCUUGAUGCUAUUAAUGUGAGCACAAUGGUUUUGUGAAAAGCUGGAAAUGGGGGCAUUGAGAAUCUCUGGUAAUUUCAUUUAGCUAUGCACUGAGCUUCUACUUUCUCUGUGCCUGGUUCAGAAUAUUAGAAGAGAUGGCAAUGAUUCUGGAGUGGAUUACACCAUUUGACUGAGGAACUACUGGAAUUUUCUUCUUCUCUAAGAUACACACAAGCAUGACGACUUCCAAUGAACAGGCCUCACCAAGAACUCUCCAAACAUGUAGGGUUUCUUUAGUUUAUCAAUGAAACAAGCAACUUGGUAGGAUGCUUCUGAAAUGCCGCUGCUGUGAUAGAGCAAACCAAGUUUUGAUAAAGUUGAUUCUCUUCUGAUGGAGCCUUCCCCCAAGGUGCUUUCCCAGCCUUGCUGGCUUCAUGCUUCUGGGAUUGAGAAGCUUGUCACCAUCAUCAACAGGCCUAGUUUGCAACGGAAAGCCAGAGAACGUCUCAGCUUCCUUGUGUUCUGUUUGCCCUGACAUUACUGAACUUUAGCAAGACCCAAAGUUAACAAAGACCCCUGUCACAGGCCGAAUGGCAGGGUAUGUUCUUUGAUUUCUGUUAGUGGAAAAUGAAUGUAACACAGAGAUCACAUGGGCUGUGAGGCCCCCCUGUAGCCUCCAGCACCCUUUCUUCCUGGAGCAUGAAUCUGGACGGAAAUGGUGCCGUAUUAGGUUUGUUUUACAAAGAUGAUUUUCAAAGAGGAAGAGGAUCAAAAGAAACAGAAAAGAACCCCCAGCGUGCAGGCCACAGGUGUGUGGGGGUUAAAACUGGAUGGGAAGGAGAGGGGGAAGUCCUGGAACUCAAGGAGGCACAACCGUGGGGGCUUCAUUUUCCCCAGGAACUAUAAAAGGCCAAUGGGCUCUUGUAGGAAAAAAGCAGAUCAGCACAGAUGGGAGCAGAGAAAGGGCUCUCACAGCAAAUUUUGCCGGCUUUCCAGUUUUUCCAUAGAUCAGACCACUUUUUGGCCUUUGCUUAGAACCAUCAAGCUUCCUCCUUAGGCAUCCAGCACAGCUCUUUCCAUAUAUGUGGCGGUUUUUUGUUUUGUUUUAAUAAAGAAAAAUGUUUAUAAGCAUUGUACACAUUGCAUACUGGAAAUCUGCCAAGAGAGUAGGUUUUAGGUGCUCUUACCACACAUACCCCCCCCCAAAACACACACGAACAUGGACAUGUUAAUGGUUGGUGUAAUAUGUUAACGGUAUGUUAAUUUGCUUGUCUGUGGUAAUCACUCCACAUAUGUACGUCAGAACAUCUUGUUGCAUAUCUUAAAUACAGACAAUAAAAAAAGAAAAUCUUGGCUGGGCGUGGUGGCUUUUGCCUGUAAUCCCAGCAUUUUGGGAGGCCAAGGAGGGAGGAUCACAUGCCAGGAGUUCGAGACCAGACUGGGUUAACAUAGUGAGAUCCCAUCUCUACAAAAAAAAAUUUUAAAAAGAAAAUCUUUGAAAAGUUAAAAGAGAAAUAUUGAAGAACAGUGAAAACAGGUGUUAUAGAAAUCAUUUUAGUUCUAUAUAAAAACUUUUAUUUGUUUGUAAAUAAAAAUAUUUGAUAUUUACAUUCCAUCGUUAUUAAAUGUUGUAUCUUUUUCUGA
rnacentral:lncRNA from 1 species